UGAAAAAAACUCCAGUUUACCAAAAUAAAACUAUAAUGGAGUACGAAAAAAUAACGACAAAACCAAUAUUGUUAUUAUUAUUUAUAUAGUAACUAGAUAGUUAUAAUUAGUUCAAAAGAACAAAAACAAAUUGCAUUUCAAAUUCUAAGUAAUGUGAGAAAUGGUUAUGUGUCUGUAAAAAAACUUAGCGAACAAAACAUUUUGUCCCGAUCGAAAAUUCUAUAAAAGACAUUUUCUAUCUAUUUGGUGUAUUUUUAUAGUUUUCUCUUAAUGAACAGGGGAAACUGCCAAUCAUUUUUGUCGAUUUCUGGGUUACCUUGACAGCGAGGAAACAAUACGACUAUAGUAAUAUACGUUCUGCUCAGUUUUACGUUAACGACUAUUGUUUAUCGUUACGUACAGAUAUAAAUCAAAUAACUCUAUGCAUCCUCCCUUCCAGAUUCCCACCCA